rnacentral:pre_miRNA from 1 species
UUGAUUCUUCGUCUUAUUUAAAAUUUUUUUGCGAUUAACAUUUUUAUUGUUAGUAGAUGAUAAAACAUAAAUAGUUUUUUACACGUGACUAAUUUUUUUAAAAGUUUUUAAAAUAAUUUUUCAAAUAAGAUGAAUGGUCAA